UACGUAGGGUGCAAGCGUUGUCCGGAAUUAUUGGGCGUAAGGAGCUCGUAGGCGGUUUGUCGCGUCUGCUGUGAAAACUCGGGGCUUAACCCCGGGCCUGCAGUGGGUACGGGCAGACUAGAGUGCGGUAGGGGAGACUGGAAUUCCUGGUGUAGCGGUGAAAUGCGCAGAUAUCAGGAGGAACACCGGUGGCGAAGGCGGGUCUCUGGGCCGUAACUGACGCUGAGGAGCGAAAGCGUGGGGAGCGAACAGG
rnacentral:rRNA from 1 species